UACGAAGGGUGCAAACGUUGCUCGGAAUCAUUGGGCGUAAAGCGCACGUAGGCGGCUUUGCAAGUCGGACGUGAAAUCCCUCAGCUCAACUGAGGACGUGCAUCCGAAACUGCAAGGCUUGAGUACUGAAGAGGAUCGCGGAAUUCCCGGUGUAGAGGUGAAAUUCGUAGAUAUCGGGAGGAACACCAGUGGCGAAGGCGGCGAUCUGGGCAGAUACUGACGCUGAGGUGCGAAAACGUGGGGAGCAAAUAGG
rnacentral:rRNA from 1 species